CAUCCUCUGGGUGGAGUAGGACUUGCAGAUGGGGCGUCCUUACUCCCAGUCUUUCCAGAUGUUCUUCCCACUCCUCAACUGCUCCUGGCUCAGAAACCCUGCACACCUGGAAGAAAGUGAGAACCAGUUUUUCAACAAACACAUUGCACAGACUUAUUGUGAACCCCGGGUGGAAUCAAGCAUCGGAGGAAGAGAACGUGGGUCUUGCUGUGUCCCUAGGCUGGAGUGCAGUGGUGCAGUCUCAAUUAUGCCAGAUGGCUCUGAGGUCCAAGUAAAAGAUAAUAUUUGCAACCAACUCACUGGAGUUGACCAUCAAAACUCUUUUCCAGGUGGAAAAGCACCCUGAAUCCAGCUUCCUGCUAUGAAUGAAUACUGAGCUUGGGUUGGUGGAAAUUGAUUUUCGAGAUAAAGAAUCCAGCCAGGACUGUGAAGCCCCAGGGAAUGGCUGCACUUCAAGUCAGAAGGAGCCUGGGUCCCUGAAUCAUCAUGUGGAAGGCUCUCCACCCAGUUCAAUGGUGCAAUGGACCACAAGCAGGAACUUAAUUUAGAAUGUGCUUAUUUUGUUAGAUUUUGUAAUUAAAAAAUGGAUCCCACUCUGACUGAAUCAGAGAUGUUGAAGUCAUUGAUCUGGGAGGGUAUGUUCCUGGGAGUGGGUGGCUGAGGUGAGAUUUCAAACAAGGUUGUUGAGGAAGAGGAGUUCAAGUGACUGAGAGGACAUAUUGUUGGAUAAAUUGUGCGUGCGUGUGUGUGUGUGUGUGUGUGUGUGUUGAAAUCACCAAGAAUAGGGAAAGAAGUGUAUAAGAGAGUGUGGCAGUGAGCCCAGAGCUAAAAGAAAUCAUGAGCAGGGAGUAAUUCACGAGCAGAAAGUAGAAGCAACGAGAGGCAGUUAAUGAGAGAAGCAGCUGAGGGAUUUUAGCAAGGGAUGGG
rnacentral:lncRNA from 1 species